rnacentral:lncRNA from 1 species
CUUUAGAUGUUUUUCUCAGUCCCUGUGUAAGGGGAGGUGAGUGAGAGUGUGUGUGUGUGUGUGUGUGUGUGUGUGUGUGUGUGUGUGUGUGUCCAAAUCCAUGCUGUUAAUGGAUUUGCUAAUUAAGGACUUCUCAGGUGAUGCCAGAAAAAGCAGGAGAGGAAAUGGAGGAGUGGAGUGCCAGGUAAGAGGAGACGGUAGAAAUAGAUUUAUCAAAUGAAGAGAGAAGAUGGGGGGAAACAAGACAAACCUGAAGGAGGGGCAGAGGGAAAAGAAAGAUCCAUAAACGUCCUUCCAUGAGCCAUGAAUCUGCUCUGUCAUCUGUUGUUCUUGACAAUUACCCUUCACCUUGGUGUCGUCAAGGGUGGAAGAGCCCAGCGUAAACAGAGGCAGGCUGAAGAGAAGUUGAGGCCUUAUUUGGGCAGAGUGGAUCCAGAAUCCCUGUGUAAGUUGUUGAAAUGUCACAGUCCUAUUGGUUCCUGGUGCCAAGUAGUGAAGGAGGGGGGAGUUCUCACUCCUAAAUGUGUGUGUCCAAAGACCUGCCCACGGCAGGGAGCAGCAGUGUGCAGCGUUUUGGGGAAGACGUACAGCAACGAGUGUCUUCUUCACAAGGAGGCCUGCCGCAAAAAACGACGCAUUGGCAAGGCACAUAGUGGAGCUUGUCUGGUAAGUGAGGCUGAGUGCUCUGAGGAAGAGUUCGGUCAGUUCCCAUACCGUCUGCUGGACUGGUUCUUACUCCUCAGCAGAAUGGGAGAGAGAUACACACCAGCCGCUCCCUCUCAAAGCUGUCUCACACACACCCAGCGAACCCAACUUGCAGAGAGAAGGUUUGUUCUGUUGGAUCGUAACAGGGACGGGAAGUUAAGCAGGAGAGAUCUGAGAAAGCUUCACUAUAAGCGGAUACCACUGGAGCACUGCGCUCAAAGAUUCUUCCAGUCAUGUGACAAGAACAAGAAUAAGAAGGUGACCCUGAGGGAGUGGACAUCCUGUCUGGCUGACCGGUCAGAACGCUGGUUUCAGGAUUUCAUGUCCGUGAAGAUGGGCUCACCAAAGCUGUGUCCUGUCCCAGACAACAACCUUUACAUUUAGAUGCUUUAUCCGGGUGGAAUUGUAUUUUAAAACCUAUCAGCUUGACUCAUGAAUAUUAAUUAACUAGGUGACAUUUAUCUAGAAGUUAUAAUAAUUGAAACCUCUAGAAAGCUAGCCAUUUACAUUCUGCAUUUGUUGGAUUAAAAAUACUGUAAAACAGUGAUAUUGUGAAAUAUUCUUACAAUUUAAAAUAACGCUUUUUUUUUAAAUUUUGAAUAUAUUGUAAAGUGUAAUUUAUUCCUGUGAUGGCAAAGCUGAAUUUUCAGCAGCCAUUACUCUUCAGUGUCACAUGACCCUUUGGAUAUUAUUCUAAUAUGCUGAUUUACUACUUAAUCAACUUUUCCUAUUAUCAUCACUAUAAUAAUAAAAAAAGACAAUUGCUAUGC